rnacentral:lncRNA from 1 species
CAAUAACUAUUAGGUGAGGUACAUGUGGAUCAGUGAUAGCACAAUAUCCACUAAAAAUUGAUGAGUAUAGAUUUUUGUUUCUCCACCUGAGGAGUGUGGGAGACUCAUAGAAAUAGUAAAAGCCUUGUUUGUUUAUUAAAGUCCCUAUAACAAAUAUUUACAAGUACAAACAUUUAAUUAAAAAUUAUUUUCUUUCUAUAGUUGAUUAACCAUGUUGAGUUCAAAUCCUCCGGCCCA